rnacentral:rRNA from 1 species
UACGGGGGGGGCAAGCGUUGUUCGGAAUUACUGGGCGUAAAGGGCUCGUAGGCGGCCAACUAAGUCAGACGUGAAAUCCCCAGGCUCAACCUGGGAACUGCGUCUGAUACUGGAUGGCUUGAAUCCGGGAGAGGGAUGCAGAAUUCCAGGUGUAGCGGUGAAAUGCGCAGAUAUCAGGAAGAACACCCGUGGCGAAAGCGGCUCUCUGGAACGGUACUGACGCUGAGACGCGAAAGCGUGGGGAGCGAACAGG